rnacentral:lncRNA from 1 species
GUGAAAUCUAUUGGCUGGAAGAGUCUGCACUCUCUCCACACGAAGGAUGUCUUGCCUUAGGGAAUAGAAACUUUCAAGUCCAGGGCCCAAGCCUCCCUCUCCCCAGGAAGGUGCUGUUUGGAUAAAGCCGGCACUAGCCUUUGAGAUUUGUUUUCCGUUUUUUGCUCAACCCUUGCUUUCCUCAGAGACAUAAACUAAUUCAAUUAGGAUGCAGUCAAGUGUUGGAGGCCUGUGAACCAUUCUGACCAUAUAAGAUGUAUUUCCCUUAAUCAUAAAGAUGAUGUCAAAACUCAUUUGGAAACGUCUUCAGAACUCUCAUUAGCAACAUGAGGAAAAUUUUCAUUGACUUGACUGAAGGAACAGAUGAGCACGUCCAUAUAUAUUCUUGAAAGGGAAGACAAAAGCCUGCUCGCCAAUGAUGAAGGAAGAUUAGCCCUGAGCUAUCUGCCACCAAUCCUCCUCUUUUUGCUGAGGAAGACAGGCCCUGAGCUAACAUCUGUGCCCCAUCUUCCUCUACUUUAUAUGUGGGAUGCCUGCCACAGCAUGGCUGGACAAGCAGUGCCAUGUCUGCACCCAGGGACCAGGAUCCAAACUGGUGAACCCCAGGCCACCGAAGCAGAAUGUGUGAACCAAAGUGCUUUGCCACCAGGACAGCCCCUCUUGUACCUUUAUCAUAAUGUGAAGAAAGUGAAAAAUGAUGUAAAGCAACAAAUAUUUUUCCUUCAUAAUAUAUAUUUUUGGUGACAGCUUUAUUGAGAUAUAAUUCACAUA